CCAAUGGAAAGACGGGAACUACUGACCGAUGUCUCCCCUACCGUCUUCGUUGCUUCUGCGGGCGGCCGCCCCGUGCGCCCCCCCGGGCCCCCCCCCUCCCUGGUGGGGGGGCGCCCGCCGGAGGAACCUAACUCCUGUUGAUCCUGGGGCCUCCCGAACUCUUCUGUCUGGAAUAAGUCAAAACUUUCACAACGGAUCUCUUGGUUCUGGCUUGCAUGAUUAACGGAAUCAACUGAUCUUUUACGGUGAUUUGCCCAAUUGGUGAAUCUGGGAAUCUUUGAACGCACAUUGCGCCCUACCUUAUUCUGGCGGGCAUGCCUGUCCGAGCGUCAUUUCUCCAUCAAGCCCCCGGGCCUGUGUUGGGGACCUGCGGCUGCCCGAUGGCCCCUAAAACCACAGGCGGGCUCGCUGUCUCAUAAAGACUACGUCCAACACCUCAUUUUUACAGUGUUGUGGGUCCCGGCCGUAAAACCUCCCCCUCGCUUUAGACAUAUCCCUAGGCGGACGAAGGAUCAGGUAGGAAGACCCGCUGAACUUAAGCAUAUCAAUAAGCCGGAGGAAA
rnacentral:rRNA from 1 species